GAUGAACGCUGGCGGCGUGCCUAAUACAUGCAAGUCGAGCGAACGGACGAGAAGCUUGCUUCUCUGAUGUUAGCGGCGGACGGGUGAGUAACACGUGGAUAACCUACCUAUAAGACUGGGAUAACUUCGGGAAACCGGAGCUAAUACCGGAUGAUAUUUUGAACCGCAUGGUUCAAAAGUGAAAGACGGUCUUGCUGUCACUUAUAGAUGGAUCCGCGCUGCAUUAGCUAGUUGGUAAGGUAACGGCUUACCAAGGCAACUAUGCAUAGCCGACCUGAGAGGGUGAUCGGCCACACUGGAACUGAGACACGGUCCAGACUCCUACGGGAGGCAGCAGUAGGGAAUCUUCCGCAAUGGGCGAAAGCCUGACGGAGCAACGCCGCGUGAGUGAUGAAGGUCUUCGGAUCGUAAAACUCUGUUAUUAGGGAAGAACAUAUGUGUAAGUAACUGUGCACAUCUUGACGGUACCUAAUCAGAAAGCCACGGCUAACUACGUA
rnacentral:rRNA from 1 species